rnacentral:rRNA from 1 species
UACGGAGGGUGCAAGCGUUGUCCGGAUUUAUUGGGUUUAAAGGGUGCGUAGGCGGCCGAUUAAGUCUGGGGUGAAAGCCCGUUGCUCAACAACGGAACUGCCCUGGAAACUGGUCGGCUUGAGUACAGACGAGGGUGGCGGAAUGGAUGCUGUAGCGGUGAAAUGCAUAGAUAGCAUCCAGAACCCCCGAUUGCGAAGGC